CACUUCCCACUGCCAUUCAUUGAUUAGAUGUUUGAACGGUUAGCAGGUAAGUCUUAUUUCUGCUUUCUUGAUAGCUUUUCUGGAUAUAAUCAAAUUGUUAUUGCACCAGAGGAUCAAGAGAAGACUAUCUUCACUUGCCCUUUUGGAACUUUUGCUUUUAGAAGGAUGCCCUUCAGGCUUUGUAAUGCACCUGAAUGCGUUGUUCUGUAUCA
rnacentral:misc_RNA from 1 species